AUUGAAGUGCUGGAUCCUAUAUGAUCACCAAAGUUAAGCAACGUCGAGCCUGGUCAGUACCUAGAUGGUUGACCACUUGGGAAUGCAAGGUGCUGUAAG